rnacentral:lncRNA from 1 species
AUGAGGCUGACCCACGAGGCUGCUCCAAGUGUGAGUGACCCAAAUGAAGUCAUCCCCUUCCCAGCAGGAGAGGGAGAGGAGUUGGGUUUUCAUCGGAUCUUCUCAGCGGAUGUGGAAGUGCCGUUUGUUAUCGUUCUCAAAUCGCUGAUGGGAGAAGCCGUGGCUUGGAGACUGGAGGCCCCAGCUGGACCAAGCCCUUCUGAUGAGCAGCUCUCCGCACCCAACAUGUGGGGCUGGUUACAGUUGUGUGCUGGGGCCCACCCUCCAUCCACACUCUCGAGGUCACAGCACUGGAGAGAGAGGGCUACAGCUUCCACGAGUGGGUGGCAGGACCUCACACGAGUCCCAUGAGGAAGCUAAGAUGCUUUACAAAUGCUGCAAACUGUCAGCCCACAAAUAAGUACUUGAUGCCAGAAAACACACAGGUAGUCAAAGCAAACGUCGCCCAACCCUCUUCUUGGGUUGAGUUUUGUUGUUUGUUUUGUGUGGCUGGGUGGAGACUGAGAUGGAAAAAAAAUCCGUGAUUCUUUUUGAACCUGCCUUGUGUCCUUUUAGGAAUUAGUUCCACCAGCAGCUGGUUUUGUUUUUUUGUUUUUUUUCCAGAGAAAAAUGUGAGCGAGGACUGUGAGCAAAAUGUACGUAUCCACUGUAGCAGCCUCCUGCUGCAUUUCGGGAAAUGGUAUGUGCUGUCUGGAUGCCUGGGGUUCUUUAGAGUGAGCACAAAUUUGUGUUAGGGAGGGGAAAAAAAAACCUCGUAUUUUCAACCUCAAAGAUGAUUUUUUUAAGUCAAAACAACUCACAUCCUAGGCUGCCAGAAUGCUUGCUUUCUGCACUCACUUCUAGUCCCAAAGACAUUUGUGUAGCUCAUUAUAUGCUGACUGGAACUGUAGUUUGCAGUGAGAGCCAAGCAGCACUCUCAUUCCAAGUUGUUCCUCAUCAGGAGAGGGGUCUUUUAUCACUUCAGGAACCUGGAAAAGGCUCUCUCCUGUGGCCAUGCUGUUGGAUAAUGAUCUCACCAACCCUAAGUAAAAGCAGAGGGUUUUUCACUCUGCAAGAGCCCUAGGCCUCGGCAAAUCCCCACCCCACAACCAGCCCCAGACUCAGUCCCAUCAGACACAGGAGAGCUGGCCAGUGCGUGGCCCCCAGAGGCCUCAGGUCUUUGUGUAAAUGAGUCCACCCCACCCACCUAC